UACGGAGGGGACUAGCGUUGUUCGGAAUUACUGGGCGUAAAGCGCACGUAGGCGGAUAUUUAAGUCAGGGUGAAAUCCCAGAGCUCAACUCUGGAACUGCCUUGAUACUGGGUAUCUUGAGUAUGGAAGAGGUAAGUGGAAUUGCGAGUGUAGAGGUGAAAUUCGUAGAUAUCGGGAGGAACACCAGUGGCGAAGGCGGCUAUCUGGCUGAAACUGACGCUGAGGCGCGAAGGCUAGGGAGCAAACAGG
rnacentral:rRNA from 1 species